CAAAGACAUUUGAACAGAAUUUUCUUUAGCUUGUCAAAAAUGCCUUUUUCUCCCUUUUUCCUAACAUUAACAUUAAUUGGAGCUGGGCAAAAAUCCUCAUGUUAAUAUGAAUAAAAGUAACACUAGUACAUUACAUUUAAUUAGCAUCUAAACUAAAGAUCCUACGCCCCGCAAGCAAUUUCCACCCGGGAAAUGUUGUCUGACAAGCAAACACAGCCAGCUCUGAUGCAGCGUGGGGCAGCUUUUCCAGAUGAACAAGAAUAAAAGGGAGAGGAUGCAAAUCCAGCCACGGGGGCAACAACCAGGACAAAUCCAAGCAGCUGUCCUUUUUCUUCUAACGGGAAGACUUUUAAUUUAAAAACUGUCCAAGUUACAAAGCAUUAUUCUAUUUUAAAGAACAUGGACACUUGCAGCUCUGCUGAUGGAAGACGAAAGGGAGCUCCUGUGCGAGCGCACUGCAUCGUCUCCGGCGCAGGGCUGCGCGCUCCUGGGUACAGCGGAGGAGCGGAGGAGGGCACGCGGCGGUACAGAGGAGCUGUUGUUCUAAAUCUGAACUCAGAAGCAAUGUGA
rnacentral:lncRNA from 1 species